rnacentral:tRNA from 1 species
GCCUGGGUGGCUCAGUAGGUUAAGUGUCUGGCUUCAGCUCAGGUCAUGAUUUCAUGGUUUGUGGGUUCGAACCCCGUGUCAGGCU